rnacentral:rRNA from 1 species
GCUAAGUAGGGGCAAGCGGCCGCGGUAAGACGUGUGAUGGGGGCGUUGUCCGGAUUUAUUGGGCGUAAAGAUUUCGUAGGUGGUUUGUCAAGUCUGAUGUUAAAGAUCGGGGCUCAACCCUGGGACUGCAUUGGAUACUGGCAGACUUGAGUGUGGUAGAGGCUAGUGGAAUUCCCAGUGUAGCGGUGAAAUGCGUAGAUAUUGGGAAGAACACCGGUGGCGUAGGCGACUAGCUGGGCCAUAACUGACACUGAGGAACGAAAGCCAGGGUAGCGAAUGGGAUUAGAUACCCCGGUAGUC